rnacentral:rRNA from 1 species
CAGUCGCCGCGGGAAUACGAAGGGUGCAAGCGUUAAUCGGAAUUACUGGGCGUAAAGCGUGCGUAGGCGGUUUGUUAAGUCUGUUGUGAAAUCCCCGGGCUCAACCUGGGAAUGGCAAUGGAUACUGGCAAGCUAGAGUGUGUCAGAGGAUGGUGGAAUUCCCGGUGUAGCGGUGAAAUGCGUAGAGAUCGGGAGGAACAUCAGUGGCGAAGGCGGCCAUCUGGGACAACACUGACGCUGAGGCACGAAAGCGUGGGGAGCAAACAGGAUUAGAUACCCCUGUAGUCCCUGUCUCUUAUAC